AUGGCACCAGCUGCUAUUCCUGUGGUGGGGGAGUUGCCCAACAACGUUGUGGUGGCCGUGCCUGCGCCUGGGCCUUCUCUGCGUCGCAGCUCCCGCAACAAGCAGCUGUACCAUGGGGCUCGGGUAGGCGCGGUGGAGCGUGCUUCCAAGCGCAAGGCUACUAUUAUGGACCUCCCUCUCAAGAUCACCCCUAAGCCAAUGAAGAAGGGCAAGCUACUGCCUGAGUCUUCCAAGCUCGACAAGGAUGCCAUUAUCUCUGAAACUGAAGGAGCUGGAUCCACUUUGGCCUCACGUAAGCACAUCCUGUGUGGCCCUUGUUGGUGCCGACUGCCAACCCUCUAG
rnacentral:rRNA from 1 species